rnacentral:rRNA from 1 species
CAGCCAGGAUGUUGGCUUAGAAGCAGCCAUCAUUUAAAGAAAGCGUAAUAGCUCACUGGUCGAGUCGGCCUGCGCGGAAGAUGUAACGGGGCUAAACCAUGCACCGAAGCUGCGGCAGCGACACUUUAGUGUUGUUGGGUAGGGGAGCGUUCUGUAAGCCGUUGAAGGUGUCCUGUGAGGGGUGCUGGAGGUAUCAGAAGUGCGAAUGCUGACAUAAGUAACGAUAAAGCGGGUGAAAAGCCCGCUCGCCGGAAGACCAAGGGUUCCUGUCCAACGUUAAUCGGGGCAGGGUGAGUCGACCCCUAAGGCGAGGCCGAAAGGCGUAGUCGAUGGGAAACGGGUUAAUAUUCCCGUACUUGGUGUUACUGCGAAGGGGGGACGGAGAAGGCUAUGUUGGCCGGGCGACGGUAGUCCCGGUUUAAGCGUGUAGGUGUGUGUUCCAGGUAAAUCCGGUUCACUUUAACACUGAGGCGUGAUGACGAGGCACCACGGUGCUGAAGCAACAAAUGCCCUGCUUCCAGGAAAAGCCUCUAAGCAUCAGGUAACAUCAAAUCGUACCCCAAACCGACACAGGUGGUCAGGUAGAGAAUACCAAGGCGCUUGAGAGAACUCGGGUGAAGGAACUAGGCAAAAUGGUGCCGUAACUUCGGGAGAAGGCACGCUGACACGUAGGUGAAGUGAUUUACUCAUGGAGCUGAAGUCAGUCGAAGAUACCAGCUGGCUGCAACUGUUUAUUAAAAACACAGCACUGUGCAAACACGAAAGUGGACGUAUACGGUGUGACGCCUGCCCGGUGCCGGAAGGUUAAUUGAUGGGGUCAGCGCAAGCGAAGCUCCUGAUCGAAGCCCCGGUAAACGGCGGCCGUAACUAUAACGGUCCUAAGGUAGCGAAAUUCCUUGUCGGGUAAGUUCCGACCUGCACGAAUGGCGUAAUGAUGGCCAGGCUGUCUCCACCCGAGACUCAGUGAAAUUGAACUCGCUGUGAAGAUGCAGUGUACCCGCGGCAAGACGGAAAGACCCCGUGAACCUUUACUAUAGCUUGACACUGAACAUUGAGCCUUGAUGUGUAGGAUAGGUGGGAGGCUUUGAAGCGUGGACGCCAGUCUGCGUGGAGCCGACCUUGAAAUACCACCCUUUAAUGUUUGAUGUUCUAACGUGGACCCGUAAUCCGGGUUGCGGACAGUGUCUGGUGGGUAGUUUGACUGGGGCGGUCUCCUCCUAAAGAGUAACGGAGGAGCACGAAGGUUGGCUAAUCCUGGUCGGACAUCAGGAGGUUAGUGCAAUGGCAUAAGCCAGCUUGACUGCGAGCGUGACGGCGCGAGCAGGUGCGAAAGCAGGUCAUAGUGAUCCGGUGGUUCUGAAUGGAAGGGCCAUCGCUCAACGGAUAAAAGGUACUCCGGGGAUAACAGGCUGAUACCGCCCAAGAGUUCAUAUCGACGGCGGUGUUUGGCACCUCGAUGUCGGCUCAUCACAUCCUGGGGCUGAAGUAGGUCCCAAGGGUAUGGCUGUUCGCCAUUUAAAGUGGUACGCGAGCUGGGUUUAGAACGUCGUGAGACAGUUCGGUCCCUAUCUGCCGUGGGCGCUGGAAGACUGAGGGGGGCUGCUCCUAGUACGAGAGGACCGGAGUGGACGCAUCACUGGUGUUCGGGUUGUCAUGCCAAUGGCACUGCCCGGUAGCUAAAUGCGGAAAAGAUAAGUGCUGAAAGCAUCUAAGCACGAAACUUGCCCCGAGAUGAGUCUUCCCUGAGACUUUGAGUCUCCUGAAGGAACGUUAAAGACGAUGACGUUGAUAGGCCGGGUGUGUAAGCGCAGCGAUGCGUUGAGCUAACCGGUACUAAUGAACCGUGAG